rnacentral:rRNA from 1 species
AUUGAACGCUGGCGGCAUGCCUUACACAUGCAAGUCGAACGGUAACAGGUCUUCGGAUGCUGACGAGUGGCGAACGGGUGAGUAAUACAUCGGAACGUGCCUAGUAGUGGGGGAUAACUACUCGAAAGAGUGGCUAAUACCGCAUGAGAUCUACGGAUGAAAGCAGGGGAUCGCAAGACCUUGUGCUACUAGAGCGGCCGAUGGCAGAUUAGGUAGUUGGUGGGAUAAAAGCUUACCAAGCCGACGAUCUGUAGCUGGUCUGAGAGGACGAUCAGCCACACUGGGACUGAGACACGGCCCAGACUCCUACGGGAGGCAGCAGUGGGGAAUUGUGGACAAUGGGCGAAAGCCUGAUUCAGCAAUGCCGCGUGCAGGAUGAAGGCCUUCGGGUUGUAAACUGCUUUUGUACGGAACGAAAAGCCCUGGGUUAAUACCCUGGGGUCAUGACGGUACCGUAAGAAUAAGCACCGGCUAACUACGUGCCAGCAGCCGCGGUAA